rnacentral:lncRNA from 10 species
UUCUGUUAUUAGAAUUAGUUUAUUUAUUUGGAAUAAUUCACUUCUUGGAUUGGAUGGAUGCCAAGCUGGAUUAUUACCCUAGGCUGCUGAUGGAAAGCAUCCAAAAGUUUUACCAGUUCUUUUGUUAGUUUCUUGUAUAGGGUAAGAAUAAAAACUCAUUUAAAUUGCCAUAAUUUAUGCAAUGAAACCCAAUAAACUAGCCAAAUUUCAAGUUCCUGCCUUCCAUCAACAUUUCCAUUAGAUGAAAACUCCUUCUUUAUCUAAACCAAUUGAUGGUAGUUAGAUCUUUUAAUGGAUUUGAUUCUCUACUUAACAUUCAUGAGUCUUUAGGAUGAAAACUGCUUCAGAAAAUGAAGAUUUCAAUGACUAGUUUAGUCUGAAUCAUCAUGGCUGAAAUUAGAAAACACAAAGCCAGUGUGAUCAAUGGGAAGAUCAUUGACAUAAGUGUCAGUUUCUGUUAAUGGUGUGGCCUCUAAUUAAUUUUGUGAUCUUUUGCAAGUUACUUAAUCCCUGUCUGUUUUUUACUCUGAGAGAUAAUAAAAUUGGACCAAAUCAAU